rnacentral:lncRNA from 1 species
AAUGGAACUUCAUGCCAUCAAGCAACAAAUGAACUUCAUGAUUGAAAUUCCUAAUUUAUUCACGUUAGUACGCAGGUGGAUAGAAAUCUCUUAGGAAUUAGUGGCACGUUACUACGUACGUGGAUCAGUUUUAAUAAUUUCACCACUUUUACCGCCUUCUCUGUUAGCCUUAAAAGUUGAACAAUAGUUCACUUGUUACUCAAGAUGGAUUUCUCAAGCU